AAGUCGUAACAAGGUUUCCGUAGGUGAACCUGCGGAAGGAUCAUUAACACUAUUAAAAAUAUGAGCAAGUUGUGGGUGUUUAUUCUUUUCACAAAGAAUAAAUGCUUCUUUUGUUCUUAUCCAAUUUACCCAAACUUUUUGAAAGUGCUUGUUGAUUUUUUCUUUCUUGGCAACGAGAAAGAAAAAUCCUUUUUUUUUUUUUUUUCUAUAUAAACAAAAACCCCAAAUCUUUUUUUGCUAAUGCAAAUGACAAUUACUAAAAACAAAAUAACUACUUUAACGUAACCCAACAACUCUUAGCAACGGAUAUCUUGGCUCUC
rnacentral:misc_RNA from 1 species